rnacentral:rRNA from 1 species
GUGAGGAAUUUUCCGCAAUGGGCGAAAGCCUGACGGAGCAAUGCCGCGUGAAGGAUGAAGGCCUAUGGGUUGUAAACUUCUUUUCUCAGAAAAGAAUUAUGACGGUAUCUGAGGAAUAAGCAUCGGCUAACUCUGUGCCAGCAGCCGCGGUAAGACAGAGGAUGCAAGCGUUAUACGUAAUGAUUGGGCGUAAAGCGUCUGUGGGUUGUUUAAAAAGUAUUCUGUCAAAGAUUAGGGCUUAACCCUAGAUAGGCAGAAUAAACUUUUAAGCUAGAGUUUGGUAGAGGCAGAGGGAAUUCCCGGUGGAGCGGUGAAAUGCGUAGAUAUCGGGAGGAACACCAAAGGCGAAGGCACUCUGCUGGGCCAAUACUAACACUGAGAGACGAAAGCGAGGGGAGCAAAUGGGAUUAGAAACCCGAGUAGUCC